AUUAUAGGGUCUAACUCUCAAUUGAUUGAGAAGCUCCAACGACGUCCCUGUACUACUUUCUUGGAUUAGAGGUCCAGCAUUGUCUAUCUGGCACACUCUUGCAUCAAAAUAAGUAUACAUAGGAACUACUCUUACUAGUAGGUCUUGAGGAUAGUAAUUCGUUUCUUACACCUAGGGAGAUCAAUUUGAAGUUGCGCCAAGAGGGUGGUGGUUUCUUAUUUGAUCCCUUAAUGCAUCGGCAGCUUGAAUUAUUUGGCCAUUACCAGACUUGAUAUUUCCUUUGCUGUCCAACAAAUCAGUUAAUUUAUGCUAGCACGUUUCAUACUCAUUUGGAUACUAUUCAUCAUCUUCUUUGGUACCUCAAAGGUACCUCUGGCUGCGAUUUGUUCUUACGGUUUGGGACUUCUUUGCAAUUGGUGGGAUUUAGGGAGGCAGAUUAGGCUGGUGGUAUUAAUACUCGUCAUUCUAUCACUGUUUGGUGUAGGUUUCUUGAUGGUGUCCUUAUUUCUUGGAAAAGUAAGAAGCAAGGUUGUUUUUUGAAGUCUUCCAUCAAGUCUAAAUAUCUAGCCAUGUCAUCAGCCUGUUCUGAAAUCAUUUGGCUUCAUGGCUUGUUGGGCGAAAUUAGUUUUCCACAACUAACUCCUACUUCUUUUCAUGCUGAUAAUAUGUUCCAUGAGCAUACUAAGUAUAUUGAGGUAGAUUAUCAUUCUAUUCUUGAAGUGCUUGGACUUCAUGAAAUUUCCCUCCCUCACAUCUCCAUAGAAAACCAAACAGCUGAUAUAUUUACCAAAGCUUUAGCCAUCAGUUUAUAGUUGACAAAUGGAUGCUUCUUGAUGGCCCAUCAUCAAUUUGAGGGGAGAUGUCAAUGAGUUGUCCGAGAUUCUGAAGUAGAAUAUUUGAUUAUAUUUCUUAAAUUAAGAAAUUUGAUUUUACAUAAUUUUACAAUUCCUAGAAUCGGAGAUUUCAUUGUAAUUUACCAUAAUUAGAUAGCUGUAAUCUUCCAUAUAAAUGAUACAUAGAACCUCAAUUCACAGGCAUUUGAAGGAAAUCAAAGUUAAACAUUUUCAUCUCUGUGUCUGGUGGAGCAUUGACAUUUACAGUUCCCCUACUAUAUCCUUUCUACGUCUGUGUUACAAUUAUGAUGUCUGACUUUAAUUAUUACUUUAAAACUUUUGGUUUUGUUUGCUUCUUUCAUGUGAAUGUGAUUGUGUUGUAAUCCAUGUUGUGUUUAUUAACUGAACUUCGAAUGAAUAUGGACCCAGUUCCAUCUCUAUGAUAGGUGGAUUUUGAAGUUUAUCUUAGACCAUUUCUCCUGGUUUUUUGGAUUGUUCAGAAUGAACAUUUCACAGAGUUAAAGAUGUUCCAAGCACAAAUUGCAAUGAAGAGCAUCCCAGACACCUUUUAGCAGUGAAGAGAGAAGCUUAAACAGAGCUCGGGAAAGAGCGAAGAACCAAAAAAAAAAAUAUACUGAUUACAACAUAGUGCUUUUAGAUUGUUGAUAUUUUUGGUGCUGGAAAGUGAUUAAUAUAUUAAACAUGUCUAAAAUUUUGAGUAAAAAGGAAAAAGUAAAUGGGAUCUUUGUUCUACUGCGAAGCUGACAUCUUUUGAUGUUGCAGGCAAUUGUAUCUGAUGAAGAUGGUAUGGAGUCCAUAGCCCAUAGAUUCCUUUCUGCAGCUGUAAAGCUAGACCGAAAACCGUCCAAGUGUAUUGUGUUUGAGGAUGACCCCAGGGCAAUAACUGCUGCUCAUAAUUGUACAAUGAUGGCUGUAGCAUUAAUAGGCGCUCAUCCAGCGUAUGAUCUUGGGCAGGCUGAUCUUGCAGUUGCGAGCUUUAACGAGCUUUCUGUGAUAAAUUUGCGGAGAUUAUUUGCUCACAAGGGUUCAACUUUCAUGGAAUUAGAAAAGCAGAUGAUAGAGAUAGAGACAACUCCUUCGCGAAGAAAGCUCAGAAUCGACACUAUUUUCUGAUUUGCACCCAAUACCAUUUUUCUCUUCUCCGUCUCUCUUCAUUUGAUUCCUUUUAAAUCUGUAACAAGGGGUAGAUCAUUUUAUGAUCUCUUUUUCUCUUGGCCUUUUUGCAUAUUUCUUUCUUUUGCCUUUUGGUUUAAUAGAGAAGGAAAACAAAUUACAAGGAAGUGUAUAUGAACUCUGUUAUAAUGUAAGAAAUCUCGCUUGUAUAUAAUUUUUCCCUGGAAAUACCAGUCCUUGACUUUGAUCAAA